AAUAAGUGCAGUUAUGUACUGUGCAUGUCCAACAUUUAACCGUUCGUCUUUUUCUUUUAUGAUUAGUAUUUUUAUUGUUAUUAUAUGAUAAAACAUAAAUAAUACAUGUAUGACUAAUUUUUUAAAUAAAACGGACGGUCAAAUAUUUUACACGGAUACCCACGAUUUUGCGUGGA
rnacentral:pre_miRNA from 1 species